UGGGGAAUUUUGGACAAUGGGCGAAAGCCUGAUCCAGCAAUGCCGCGUGUGUGAAGAAGGCCUUCGGGUUGUAAAGCACUUUUGUCCGGAAAGAAAUCCUUGGCUCUAAUACAGUCGGGGGGAUGACGGUACCGGAAGAAUAAGCACCGGCUAACUACGUGCCAGCAGCCGCGGUAAUACGUAGGGUGCAAGCGUUAAUCGGAAUUACUGGGCGUAAAGCGUGCGCAGGCGGUUUGCUAAGACCGAUGUGAAAUCCCCGGGCUCAACCUGGGGAACUGCAUUGGUGACUGGCAGGCUAGAGUAUGGCAGAGGGGGGUAGAAUUCCACGUGUAGCAGUGAAAUGCGUAGAGAUGUGGAGGAAUACCGAUGGCGAAGGCAGCCCCCCUGGGCCAAAUACUGACGCUCAUGCACGAAAGCGUGGGGGAGCAAACAGGAUUAGAUACCCUGGUAGUCCACGCCCUAAACGAUGUCAACUAGUUGUUGGGGAUUCAUUUCCUUAGUAACGUAGCUAACGCGUGAAGUUGACCGCCU
rnacentral:rRNA from 1 species